rnacentral:lncRNA from 1 species
CUGGGUGUGCGUGUAUUUCUCUGUAUUCCUUCUUUGUCAUGGCUCCGCGGUUUAAUUUAAAUACGUGUUUCACUUCUCUCCAUAUUUCAGGUUUAUUACAGAGUAUGAAAAUCAGGAAGCUUUUUGUUCACUUCAUACAUCUCUUCCAACAAAGCCAGACAUCAGAACCCAGCACAGACUCCAGAGUGAUUAUUGUUACACAUGAUCUAUGGAGCAGAUAAAUUACAGCUUGAUUUUUAUAAGAAAUCUGUGAAACGGUACAAAAAUCUGAAACCAGGAGGAGCGUGGGUUCUCCCACUUUGCUACAGAACCAGAUUCUUUUUUCCCCCCACUUUGCUCAGUUCCUGGAGGGGGAGAUGUAAAACCCAGCUGGGUACAAACGAACCGGCGGAGUUACAAGCACGAGCUCCUGCGGUGGGGAGUCCAUUUAAAUCUGCCUGGCUCAGAAUUGACCUAAGGAAAGCAAACUGGAAAGCAAGCCAAAAUAGGAGCCAAAGCCCCGGGAAGCAGUGGGGUAUAGCUGUGAAUCCUAGCAACAGGCGGAGAGAGAACUGUACGUUUCUUCACGUCCUCCAAGUGUUGGUGCCUUCUGGUACAUAA